AGUGUAAACAUUACACAUCUAAUAUAUGAACUAACCCACACAAGUCGUUGACAUACUGAACAUUCGCAUUUUGUAUGCCAACGUCUCCAUUACUGUACGUCCCACUUAAAGCCUGGAAAAAAUAUAUACGAAAUGGUGCAAUGUCAUAUCUGUUUAUCAUAUAAUAUUGAGGACCAGGCGCUGAAGCAUAAUAAGUCAAAUUGUUGUCCCUGUCCGCCUCUGUAUAACGUUGUUUUAAUUGAGAUUGGUCGAGAUAAAUACUCUCCACGUAUUGUAUAUACUAACAACGAAUUUUGCUAACUUUGAAAACUGGCCCGAUUUAAGUGGCCAGUUAAGCAUAAUGAUGAGAAUGUCUCACGUUGUCAUGUUUUGCACGUGUCUGUAUGUUUGUCCGUGAGAAUAUCCGAGUGACGCUGUAUGUUUGAAAUUCAUAUUAAACGUUGUUUUGUAUGAGUCUU
rnacentral:misc_RNA from 1 species